rnacentral:misc_RNA from 1 species
GAUGAAGAACGUAGCGAAAUGCAAUAAGUAAUGCGAAUUGCAGAAUUCCAGUGAGUCAUCGAAUCUUUGAACGCACAUUGCGCCCUUUGGUAUUCCGAAGGGCAUGCCUGUUCGAGCGUCAUUAUCACCCCUCAAGCCCUCGGCUUGGUGUUGGACGGUUUGGUGGAGGCCCCCUCGGGGGCUCCUGCCCCUCCCAAAGACAAUGACGGCGGCCUCGUUGGACCCCCGGUACACUGAGUUCUUCACGGGACACGUAUCGGACACAUGGGUUUACGGGACACGGUCUGCCUCCCCUCAGGGAGAAUCUUUCUAAGGUUGACCUCGGAUCAGGUAGGGAUACCCGCUGAACUUAAGCAUAUCAAUAAGCGGAGGA